UACGUAGGGUGCGAGCGUUGUCCGGAAUUAUUGGGCGUAAAGAGCUUGUAGGCGGUCUGUCGCGUCUGCUGUGAAAAUCCGGGGCUCAACCCCGGACUUGCAGUGGGUACGGGCAGACUAGAGUGUGGUAGGGGAGACUGGAAUUCCUGGUGUAGCGGUGGAAAUGCGCAGAUAAUCAGGAGGAACACCGGUGGCGAAGGCAGCACUCUGGGACGUGACUGACGCUGAGACGCGAAAGCGUGG
rnacentral:rRNA from 1 species